UACGAGGGGGGCUAGCGUUGUUCGGAAUUACUGGGCGUAAAGCGCACGUAGGCGGAUCGAUCAGUCAGGGGUGAAAUCCCAGGGCUCAACCCUGGAACUGCCUUUGAUACUGUCGAUCUGGAGUAUGGAAGAGGUGAGUGGAAUUCCGAGUGUAGAGGUGAAAUUCGUAGAUAUUCGGAGGAACACCAGUGGCGAAGGCGGCUCACUGGUCCAUUACUGACGCUGAGGUGCGAAAGCGUGGGGAGCAAACAGG
rnacentral:rRNA from 1 species